GGCCUAUAUUAUUGAUAUUUUUGGAUAUUUUUCUAUUUAAUUUUGACAUUUUUUAUUUUUAUUUGUUUUGUAAUAUUUAGGCACUCUAAUGGUGUCCACAUUGUAAUGGAUUAGUUAUUUUUUCCUUAGAUUUCUUUUUUUCAUUUGUUUAACUAUGGAAAUAUCACACGAUCUUUUCCCUAUAAUAGAUUGAGUGACGACAUUCUUAAGGGGAAAUCAUAUUG
rnacentral:lncRNA from 1 species